GGAUGUGACGAUGAUCUACUUGCAAUACCUAUGACCCCACUGAUAACCGGGACUGCCUGAUUUGACUAGCUAGGUGGGUGUCUCCUUUCCAUCCUUACUGCUUGGCAUUUGUCCCUCCCUAGGCCGCACACUGAAGUGAACCAUCUCCCCAGACAAAGAGUACCUACUUCUCUACCGUUAAGAGUAUUCCAAUCUACUCCCAUGCUAUAACCUUCAGCCAAGGCCUCGUGCAUACUGUACUCCGCUAGCACGGGGCUCCAGGAAAGCUUACAGAACAGCUUACAGCUGGGCUUCAUGUC
rnacentral:sRNA from 1 species